GCCAUCAAUGGCGUAUUCGAAGUGAGAUAAGCGAUGCAAGGAACCGAUACACGAGCAAGUGUGGCCGAAGCAGGAAAAACUUGCAAAAAGCACCUGGUUCACAUGCACAUGAUCGUGGUCACAGCAAGCAACAGAAUCACUGUCCAGAUCCUGAAACGGAGUUUCCUAGCUUGAGUAAGAGUAUGCAAAUGCGACUCCGUCUCCCUGGAGAUGAUGCACAGCCUUAAGAUUGGAGUUCUAACUAAUUGAAUGAGCUAUUACAAGC